CUCUCUCUCUCUCUCUCUCUCUCUCUCUCUCUCUCGCUCUCUCUCUCUCUCUGCAUGCUGGGAGUGUUUGGUGCAUGCUGGGAAUUGUUUGAGCAAGGGAGUGCGUGUGUGGUGUAGAGUUAGAUAUUCAGGACUUUCUUUAGGUUUUCUCUUUCUUGGUGGCAUUCUUUGUUUUCUUCUGUGCAUGAUUAAGGUUAUUAUUUUUAUUUGUUUGUUGUGGUAGAAUUAAGUAUUUUGUUUUCGUAUCGAAAUUACCCUGUUUUUGGCGGGGAUGGCAGCCCGAAUGGGGAUGCCGUCCCUGUCACUUCGGCACGGCUUUAGGUGUGUUACUGAAGCUACUGUCACGGUGGAGGAGUUUCUGGUCGCCGUAGGAGAGAAGGACAAUGACCCAAACACACCUCCAGGCUGCGUAAGGGCUAUUUGACCGAGAAGGAGAGUGAUGGAACCCUGCAUCAGAGGACCUGGCCUACACAACCACCCGACCUCAACCCAAUUGAGAUGGUUUGGGAUAAGUUGGACCGCAGAGUGAAGGAAAAGCAGCCAACAAGUGCUUAGCAUAUGUGGGAACUCCUUCAAGACUGUUGGAAAAGCAUUCCAGGUGACUACUACAUCAUGAAGCUGGUUGAGAGAAUGCAAAGCUGUCAUCAAGGCAAAGGGUGGCUACUUUGAAGAAUCUAAAAUAUAUUUUGAUUUGUUUAACACUUUUUUUUGGUUCCUACAUGAUUCCAUGUGUUAUUUCAGGUCUUCAGUAUAUAUAUUAAAACUAAAGAAAACCCUUGCACUAUUAACUGGUACUGUAUAUGAAAUCAAUAUCGAAAAAAAUACACUCUCUCUCUCUCACACACCUACCCCUAAAGUACAGUUGUAGUCGGAAGUUUACAUACACCUUAGCCAAAUACAUAUAAACUCAGUUUUUCACAAAUCCUGACAUUUAAUCCUAGUAAAAAUUCCUUGUCUUAGGUCAGUAGCAUUGCCUUUAAAUUGUG
rnacentral:lncRNA from 1 species